GGGGGAUAUUGCGCAAUGGGGGCAACCCUGACGCAGCAACGCCGCGUGAAGGAUGAAGGUUUUCGGAUUGUAAACUUCUUUUAUUAAGGACGAAAAAUGACGGUACUUAAUGAAUAAGCUCCGGCUAACUACGUGCCAGCAGCCGCGGUAAUACGUAGGGAGCAAGCGUUGUCCGGAUUUACUGGGUGUAAAGGGUGCGUAGGCGGCUUUGCAAGUCAGAUGUGAAAUCUAUGGGCUCAACCCAUAAACUGCAUUUGAAACUGUAGAGCUUGAGUGAAGUAGAGGCAGGCGGAAUUCCCCGUGUAGCGGUGAAAUGCGUAGAGAUGGGGAGGAACACCAGUGGCGAAGGCGGCCUGCUGGGCUUUAACUGACGCUGAGGCACGAAAGCGUGGGUAGCAAACAGGAUUAGAUACCCUGGUAGUCCACGCUGUAAACGAUGAUUACUAGGUGUGGGGGGUCUGACCCCUUCCGUGCCGGAGUUAACACAAUAAGUAAUCCACCUGGGGAGUACGGCCGCAAGGUUGAAACUCAAAGGAAUUGACGGGGGCCCGCACAAGCAGUGGAGUAUGUGGUUUAAUUCGAAGCAACGCGAAGAACCUUACCAGGUCUUGACAUCCAACUAACGAAGUAGAGAUACAUUAGGUGCCCUUCGGGGAAAGUUGAGACAGGUGGUGCAUGGUUGUCGUCAGCUCGUGUCGUGAGAUGUUGGGUUAAGUCCCGCAACGAGCGCAACCCUUGCUAUUAGUUGCUACGCAAGAGCACUCUAAUAGGACUGCCGUUGACAAAACGGAGGAAGGUGGGGACGACGUCAAAUCAUCAUGCCCCUUAUGACCUGGGCUACGCACGUACUACAAUGGAUGUUAACAGAGGGAAGCAAGACAGCGAUGUGGAGCAAACCCCUAAAAACAUUCUCAGUUCAGAUUGCAGGCUGCAACCCGCCUGCAUGAAGAUGGAAUUGCUAGUAAUCACGGAUCAGCAUGCCGCGGUGAAUACGUUCCCG
rnacentral:rRNA from 1 species